AUCCAUAUGACGAGUCACAAACAAGGCGAAACGCGCGUCAUGUAC
rnacentral:hammerhead_ribozyme from 1 species